CAAACUAAAGAUGGCGACCGGCGCACGGGUGAGUAACACGUAUCCAACCUGCCGAUAACUCGGGGAUAGCCUUUCGAAAGAAAGAUUAAUAUCCGAUAGUAUAUUAAAACCGCAUGGUCUUACUAUUAAAGAAUUUCGGUUAUCGAUGGGGAUGCGUUCCAUUAGUUUGUUGGCGGGGUAACGGCCCACCAAGACUACGAUGGAUAGGGGUUCUGAGAGGAAGGUCCCCCACAUUGGAACUGAGACACGGUCCAA
rnacentral:rRNA from 1 species